GUGGCUCAGUGGUAGAGCAUCUACCAUUGGCAUGUAGAAGGUCCCAGGUUCAAUUCUUGGCAUCUCCA
rnacentral:tRNA from 1 species